AAACAGGUCACUGUCACCAGUGUGAUCCAGGGCCUGGCCCAGCCCUGGGCCCAGCCUGUCUUGAGUAACCCUGUCAGAGGCCAAGCUCCCUGUUUUGCUUGCGCAAUAGCCACUCCGGGGGCCAGAGGCCUGGCCUCAAGAGAACUUGAUGGGGGAAGCCUUGCGCCCAGAGGCUUUGCCCCUCACUGAGGGCACAAUCAAGCCCUCCAACCAGGCCCCUCCUCUACCAGGAGCCAGGGGAGAAGGAACCAGAGAUUACAUGGUGAGCAAGGAGGACAGCUGAGCUGGCAGGUGGGUGGCCUGGCCAUGCGGAGGGGAAAGCCAGGGAGGGAGGACGGCUGAGGUGGGCAGCAAGAAGAAGUGACAGCAAUAACAAAGACUCAGGAGUGGAGGUGAGCCAAGGUUGGUCAAGACACCACGAGAAGCCUACACCAGCUGUGGAAAAGGUUUCUGGGAAAGCGGUCUGGCCCCCGUGUCACGGUUUGCCCAUCUCAAGGGAAGCAAGGGAAUUAACAGACUAGGCCUUGUCUGUUGCUCCUCACCAUGUGGCCCCACUCUCUGUGUGCCCCUGCGUGCACUCCUCAUUGCACUAACGGAGAAAAGCAAGUCAUGUCUACACAUCACCUGCUAUAGAGAAGACAGAAACGUGCCUCCUGGGAUCUCAAGGGAGGUGAAAGAGUUAUGGCUGGUGGUCCCUGAGGAACCACCAUUUCUGAGGAACUACAACAACGUGAGUCACAAUACGUCCCUCUCUGGUGAGGGUCUCGACUGCCAGGAGCAAGCCUCCCCCUGUGGCCCACACCCCAGCUCCAAGGCAGCAAAGUCUGCUCAGGGCUCAGAACCAUUCAGACAACUGAGAAAUCCCACCAUCAAACAAAGGGAUGAAGCAGCAUGGGUGACAGCUGGACGUGUCGGAGCGUUACAUGUGAUGGAGGAUAAAGAUGACAACACAGCUAUUUUGACUGCUCUCUGUCUUUUGUGUCCUGAAAUUUCCAAUUCAUUGUGAUUAAAAUAAUUAAAGUUCUUCC
rnacentral:lncRNA from 1 species